rnacentral:rRNA from 1 species
GGAUGAACGCUAGCUACAGGCUUAACACAUGCAAGUCGAGGGGCAGCAUGACGAUAGCUUGCUAUUGUUGAUGGCGACCGGCGCACGGGUGAGUAACGCGUAUCCAACCUGCCUCAUGCUAGGGCAUAAUCCGCUGAAAGGCGGUCUAAUUCCCUAUGGUUUCCGAUUUCGACAUCGUGAUUGGAAUAAAGAUUUAUCGGCAUGAGAUGGGGAUGCGUCCGAUUAGGAAGUUGGUGAGGUAACGGCUCACCAAUCCAUCGAUCGGUAGGGGUUCUGAGAGGAAGGUCCCCCACAUUGGAACUGAGACACGGUCCAAACUCCUACGGGAGGCAGCAGUGAGGAAUAUUGGUCAAUGGGCGAGAGCCUGAACCAGCCAAGUAGCGUGCAGGAUGACGGCCCUAUGGGUUGUAAACUGCUUUUAUACGGGGAUAACGUGCGUCACGUGUGAUGUAUUGCAGGUACCGUAUGAAUAAGGACCGGCUAAUUCCGUGCC